UAGGGAAAGAAAACCUGCUGCCGCACCUGUUUUCGGAGCAGAAUUUGGAGGGUUUGGAGUGCGAAUUUGGGAAUCAUUCCUUGACGAAACUCGUAGAGGACCUCGAAAACUAUUGGUAUCGACCGUACUAAAGCUCUCACUCAAGGCUUGAGCAUGGCUUGAGUGUAAGGAUAUUUAUUUAUAGCACCUUGCACUGGACUUCAGGUGAGGAUCCCUAUCCCUUGCCUAUUCUUUCUGGGAAACAGGAUAUAUGCCGAGCAAUCGUAUCGUUCGGUUUAUUAUUGUUAUUACUCGUUUUUUAAAUUCAAUAUAUAUUUAUUGUCGCCUAUCUUGUGAACUAAUUUGAUUUCCGAGAAUUGUUGAUUCUUGAGCUAUUGCAAUCUUUGAUCGAUUCGAAAUCCUUUUUCCUGGAACUUAAUAAGUUCUCAUCUUGAUUCGGGAAUUAUUCCAAUAAUUUAUUUUCUCGAUUCCUUGACUACUCAAUUGAGUUCAUUUAUCGACCUUGAAUAAUUCAACGAGUUUCAAUCUGAUUCUCUAUCAAUUUUAAGUCGUUUCACAUGUAUACUAGUUGGAACCACUUCUAUUAUGAUUCAUUAAAUCAUUUGAUUUGUUUCUACAGGGGUUCAAUGAAUGUAAAUCGUUCAAUGACUGGACGAGGUGGGGUUCAAUGAAUGUAAAUCGUUCAAUGACUGGACGAGGUUGGACUUUUUGAUGAAGUGAAAGAACGUUAUCGUGGAAGUCAUAUUUGUUGUCGCUUAACAAUUUAUGAAGUGGAAUUUAUUAUGGAAUAAUUAUAGUAAUCUUUCUUAUUAUUUGGAAUGAUUGAUUUAUUAUUGAAUUUUUGUAUGAUAGAUUGAAAUUAUAAUAUUCACAUUUGAUUGAUAAUAUGUAAAUUUGCAAUCUUUAGUUUUAUUUUAAUUUUUUUUACAGCCA